rnacentral:lncRNA from 10 species
CAGAUAUAUUCACAGAAGACUUGGGGGCAGAAGUGAGCAAUAACACACGGUGGCACCACAGGACUUAGAACUUUGGACUGCCUUUGAAUUUAAACAAGUGUUGGGAGCUUAACCAAGCACUGGAAAGUAGAGCUACCACCCCUCACCGUACCGCUCAGAACUGGCUAACCACAAAGAAGACGUUUCCUGCUCAAAUACCUGAUCACCACACCUACUCACCCAAUGCUCUGGUACCCAGCUUUUUCUUUUCCUGUUUACCUCGGUAUUAAAGAAAAGCCUUUCUGCCUGAACUCGGAGAUGCUUGUAGAUAUUACAGUCGGAGUGCACUCCCUAUUGCAAUACCCGCUUCUAUUGCAGCAGUCUUUUCAAAUACAAUUUCUUCUUCCCUAAGUUUGGAUUUUUUUUUUUUUCACCUGAAAAUCAUCACCAUUUUCAUUGAUUGCCAAGCUUUCUCUCAUCUCUACAUUCUACAGUUUUUGGUUCUGACAGCCUUUUUCUGCCAUACUACCCCAGUUACAAAUCUAACUACAGAAGCAUCUCAGGGGCAGGAUGAUUUUGUCACCAUGAAAAACUGUGUAAAUUGACAUGCUAGAGACAUGGAUAACCCUGGAAAACUAAAGCAGCGAAUGGUUCAAAAUUUACAGAUUCAACUUUCUAAAGCAAUGAUUUUUUGACUGACUUUUAAAAAAUUGGCUGCGUGUAUAUCUCCUAAUGCUUUCCCUCCCCCUUGCCCUCACCCCACGACAGGCCCCGAUAUGGGAUGUUCCCCUUCCUGUGUCCACGUUAUGCACAUGUACCCCAGAACUUAAAGUAUAAUAAUAAUAAAAAAAAUUGGCUGUGUUUUUACACAGUCUGAAGACAAUCUGAAAAUUGAAGUUGGCUUGAAAUUUAUAUUGGAUUAGCUAUGCUUUUCUGCUACAAUCAGCCACUAGCCUCACCACCACCAUGAACAAUGAUGCAUGUUUUCAAUUUUACGCCUCUAUUCCUUGCCUGAGAAUGUUUCCAUAUAACUUGUUAUUGUUUGACUUGGGGACUUAAUAAUCCAAAAGGAACAAGUAGAAGCACCAUGUUGUCAUGAAAAUAUCUCUAGGGUAGGAGUCACGAGACCUGGGCUCUAAUAUUGGCGUGCCAUUUAUUUAUGGUGAUCCUUGGUGGACACUUAAACUCUUCUGAGCUUCCAUUUCGUUAGAAUAAUUAAUCUUACUCCAUAUUUUAAGGACAUUACUUGUUUCACAUAUGUAUCUUAUAUCUUCAAUAGACUGAGAGUUGCCUCAGAGACUCUAUAGUACCCUAACUGCUUAAAAUAGCAAUAAACAUUUAAUUUAAUAGUUGUUCAAUAAAUACCUAUGAGUGUGUGACUUGAUGUGUAUCACUGUAAGCAAUACUAAAAUAAAUUCCACAA